UCCUUGGUGGCCUAGUGGUUAAAGGAUCUAGCAUUGUCACUGCUGUGGUGCAGGUUCAGUCCCUGGCCUGGGAA
rnacentral:tRNA from 1 species